UACAGAGGGUGCGAGCGUUAAUCGGAAUUACUGGGCGUAAAGGGUGCGUAGGUUGUUGAUUAAGUGAGAUGUGAAAUCCCCGGGCUUAACCUGGGAGUGUCAUUUCAUACUGAUUGGCUAGAGUCGAGUAGAGGGAAGUGGAAUUUCCGGUGUAGCGGUGAAAUGCGUAGAUAUCGGAAGGAACACCAGUGGCGAAGGCGUCUUCCUGGACUUAGACUGACACUGAGGCACGAAAGCGUGGGUAGCAAACAGG
rnacentral:rRNA from 1 species